AUGAUCGACCGAACUCGGGUUGCAGCAUUUCCAAAAAUGGAGUGUCACUGGAGUGCCAGAGGCGAGCGGAGGAGAGUCCAUCGGUGUCAACCUCGUGCACGACCUGGCCGGGUGCUGCCGGAUGAGCUCACGUCCGGGCUUUACUCCAUCCCGCGUUCCACAUUGUCAAGGUGGUCAAGGAUAUGGACACCGCGAAUGGCAAAUCCUGUCAAAGCGAACUUGCAUGUUUGCAUGUGUUUCCAACAGGCGAUAAGGUCCAUGAGAUUCGUGUGUGUGCUAGCUUGUGCGCCUACCUACGCCACUGCGUCGUCGACUAUUAUCAGGCUCAUGCGAUGCCGCCGCUCCCCCAUAACGGGUGGCAUGCGGAGCUGCCUAGCCAACGAUCCGGCGUCCCCGCUUACUUCCAACCAGGGCCGCUGGCAACCCGUAGCUGACGACGUCCCGCACACGACGAUCGAAGAUCAGAAGCGGGUUUCAUCACAGGAGAAGCACGCGCCUGCGAACGUCUAG
rnacentral:rRNA from 1 species